GCGUCGAAGGCGUACCGUGAGGUAUUCUGGAGCGUGUGGAAAAGCAAAUGUAGGUAUAAGUAACGAUAAAGCAGGUGAGAAACCUGCUCGCCGCAAGACCAAGGUUUCCUGAUCAACGCUAAUCGGAUCAGGGUCAGUCGGGUCCUAAGGCUCAGCCGAACGGCGAGGCCGAUGGCAGAAACGGUUAAUAUUCCGUUACUACCUUUACGGGCGAUGUGGAGACGCAGAAGUGACAGUGCCGCCAUCUGACGGAAUAGAUGGUUGAAGGGUGUAGAAGCUGAUCGUGGCAGGCAAAUCCACCACGUGAUUCGAACCUGA
rnacentral:rRNA from 1 species